rnacentral:sRNA from 1 species
ACGACCAAAUGUGUAAUUCAUGGUCCCAGCGGCCACUCUAGCUCAUGGUGUUCCGUUCGAACUUCGAAUACGAUCCAUUGGGAAUUCCUACGCAAUCCCUGUAGGUCGAUCCCGUCGUUGCACUGUCAUGCAGGAUUUUCAACAACGACAGAGAAUGAUUUAAUCCAUCGUAACAAUACGCAGGAGGUAGGCAGAUUACCCGGUAUUCAUCGCACAGGCGUCAGCGAAUUUACAAGUGACACCUUGCCGAGGCUUGGGGAUCAUGUAUCACCCUGCUCCCUCACUCCAAAUCGAAGAGACCAGAGGUAACCACAAGAUGAGAAGGUCGCAUCAAUAACUCGCCGGAAGCAUAACGACUAUUAUGUAAGAUGAUAUAUUUAGUUAGAUGUGGCUCUGAUAUAUAUACAUAUUCAGCUACGGAGUACGGAGUACACGUUGCUGUAAUCGCUUCAGCGAGUUUAGAUUCCUAUAUUGUCGGCAUGAUAAUAAGCAUAGCUAGCUAGUUAACAUUCUUUGAUAUUCACCCUCAAAAAGCAGGCGACAGAAAUCAAAUCCCUUAAAGAUUGAAGGGAAUCAAACGGGGGAAAAAAAAAA